UAAUACCUUAAGCAGCUUCUGCUCCGCUGGGGUAUCUUAAUUCAACAUCGAGGUGACAAACUUCAUCAGCGAUAUCGGCUCUUUGAUAAAAUUAUCCUGUUAUCCCUAAAGUAGCUUUUAUCCAAUAAUCGUUAAUCUUUUUUUUUAGUAUUAACGGGUCACUAUAGCCCACGUUGUGAUUGUUAAAGGGGUUACUUAUACAAUAAACGUAUUAUUUGUUUUGCUUACUUUCUUUAAUUUUAGAAAGUCCUUGCCCCAAGUAAACUACCAUCCCUUAGAAUUUUAUUAUAGCAAAGAAAAUUUAAGGGGUAUAGUUAAGCUUUAUAGGGUCUUAUCGUCUUACGAUUAAAAAUAGCAUCUUGACUAUUAUUCUAAUUUUUUUUGGUUUGCACUUGAGACAGUGAAAUCCUCGUACUACCAUUCAUACUAUCCGCUAAUUAGGCGGCGAUUGAUUGUGCUACCUUAAUACAGUCAGGAAUACUGCAGCCAUUUAGUUUUUUUUUCUAUUUAUU
rnacentral:rRNA from 1 species